UAUUCCAAGUGUAUUUGGUGUUGUGUGAACCAUUUGAGGUGUCACACUUGGGGCACUAGGCACUCAAGCUUCAUGAAGACUUUCUACAUCAAAGAGGUAUGUAUUCUAUCUUGUUACACUUAUUGUUUUGUAUGCUAGAUUAGGAUAAUACCUUGGAAGUUCUUAUUUGCAUGUAUAAUAGAGAAAACAUAGAUCCAAGGUAUUUAGGGUUGCAUGUACACUUAGGAGUGUUAGAAUGCUCAAAACCCAACAGUGGUAUCAGAGCCUAGGCUUGUUUUCUUGUUAUACCUGCAAUAGAAGCUGAAAAAACGAAUUUGGUGCUGUCUGAUCAUCAGACUCGGCGAGUCCAUCAGAGGACUCGGCGAGUCCAUGCCUAAAAUGUGAUCAAUUCGAUCCAACUCGCCGAGUUGGUUCAUGCACUCGACGAGUUGGACCCCCAGACAGCAUAUUUUCGAGUUUUUUGGCUAGAAAUGGACUAGGAACAUUACCCUAAGUUGUUUUUGAACUUAUAAACUUGUUUUUGAUGUGGUAAUGUUCAUGCUAAUCCAUUUUCAAAGAUAAUUGUCAAUAGAUUCAUGUUUUGUAUUAGUUUAAGGUUUAGACUAAUUACAUGAAAAAGUUUGAUUUGAAUUAUCUUGUUCUUAUGAGUUGCUUAGAUUAAUAGAAAUGUUGAGUGAAAUAGUUGUUUUCAAUCCAUUUUAAUCUAAGAGUUGAGUAUAAAAUGUGUUUGUGUAACUUGUCCUCAAGUUACAUGAAGAGUCACAUUAAAGACUCAUAAAACUCAUAAAAGUUGGCAAUGGUUACAAAAUGAAGAGUCUUGUGUCAUUGAAUAAUUUUUUUUGACUCCAUAACUUGUCCUCAAGUUAUGGAAGUUCAAGAGUCACUUCAUUAAAGAAAAAUAUGUAACCAUAAUUAAAUCCAUAAGUUAUAAAAUAAAGAAAAAGUUAGUUCUUUUAUUAGUUUAAAGUCUUCCAUAACUUGUCCUCAAGUUAUGGAACUUGAAGAGUUUUUGGAUUAAAACUACUUUAAACACAUAAGUUAUGGAAUUAAUUAGUUUUGAAUAGUUUCAAAACUUGCCCUCAAGUUUUGGAAUUUGAAAAGUUUUCAAGUAUGAAUACUUUAAUUCCAAGUUAGCCCUUAGAAUUUUAAAAGUUAAAAUUCAACCCUUAUACUUUAUAAUAUUAUAAGUUAAUAAUAUAUAUAUGUAUAAGAGUAAAGUCAGUCUUACCGCUAGUACGCCUCAUUCACGAAGCCGGUCUAUAAGGUGGGUAUAAGGUUGUUGCCUAUAAAAUGGCAACUUAAUGGGUGUCCACUCUCACCCACCGCUUGCUUGACUGGUGGAGGGUCGUUAGCCGAACGGGUUUGACAGGACUAGAAUUCUCCCUUCAUUAAAAGUAUUAAUGAUAAUACUAAGUAACUAAACUCUUAAUAAUACCCAAUCUUAGUUACUUAGGAAAAAUGUGAAUAAGGUGCUAAUCCAUGAAAUUACACUUUACACUUUGUCUAAGUCGUUAGUGGAGCGUGUGUGGUUAACCGGCACACUAACUUGGACUUAACAAGGUAGGUAAAGGGUGACUUAAUAUUUAUCAUAGUAUCGAUGGAGCGUGUGUGGUUAACCGGCACAUCGAUUGAGGGGUAAUUUAUUAAGGGUACCAAGUGAUUUGCAUGGUUACUUCACACCUUGUUUUGUGAUCCUCGGCAUCCCAGUCACAAAACCUGAAGGGCACACUCGAGAUUGAAACAUGCCUUUGAAAAGUUCAAUGAAUCUCAAAGAUCUAGGAGUUUCAAAACCAAUUAAAACCUAAUAAUACAUUUCGUUUAUCUUGGUGGAAAUUGGUGAAUCGUCAUUCACCUACCUUCAAAUAUUUUAUAGCUUGGAUUACGGCAUACCUCUUCUAAGUUAUAAAAUAGUUUGUUGGGUCCUAGCCUUAAUAUUUCAUAUUGGGUGUCAUAUUAAGGACUUUAAAUCAACUAUCUUGAAUAUCUCCCAAAAGAUGUCUGGUUUAGACACCUAUGAUCUUCCCAAAUCUCUUGAAACAAGGUUUCCUAAUGAAGAUGAUGUCCCAUGGAUAUCAUACUUCUUCACCUCUUCAAAUUAUUCUCCCUAACCCACAAGUUCUUGAAAAGUUUAAGGUCACUCAGGCCCUAUUGGCAAGGCAAGGUCUAGGUGUGGUCACAUCUUGGAGAUGUAGUCACAUAUUGACAAGCCGGGAGAGUUGGGUGUCAAAGUCUUGAGAAAGUUGGUGGUUCAACCACUUUCUAAGUCACAUAGUGAGUUCCUUUGGGACACCUAUGAAACAGACUAUGACAAGACCCUUAAUGAUCUUAUCUAUUUGCUAAGAUCAACUUCCUAAAACUUUAUGGACAUUGACAAUGAUGACAUUGGAUAUCCAGUAAAGCAUUCUCUUCCCAAUGGAAAGGGAUCGGCCAUAGUCAACUCGGUUGACCAAAUGGUAAAGAGAAAAGCUAAGUCUGUGAUAGUCCCGUGUACCAUUAUCAAAGGGUCCAUAUGUUUAUAUUGCCAAAGGAAGGGGCAUUGGUUGCGAAGCUGCCAAAUUUACCUAAGGAUGUUAAAGUCAAUAAGUUUGACUCUACUUCAGGUAAAGUCCACUAUCUAACUCUGUUAAGUUUCUAUUCUGAGAUUCUUGAUACAUGAUGUGACUGGGUCACAUGGUGAUGUUUUAAGAAUCAAAGAAAAGUGAAGAAACUUAAAGAAAGAAUAUGCUGAAUCUGAUGGCGUAGAUGGAUUUCUAUCGCAUAGUUUGAAGAUCGGAUUCUUGAGCUACUUCUUAGGAGUUAUGAGAUAUUGCUUAGGAAUAGAUAACAACAAGUUUUCAUAUGGAUUGUAAGGAUAAGUUUUUCCGCAAAGUUUUAAAAUAAAAGAAAAUUUUUUUGAUUUUAUUUAUUUUAAAAUAUCCUUACAAUGGCAUUUGAGGAAAAAUUGUUGCUUAUAUGAUUCCAUUAAGAGCAAGAGUGGAAAUAUGAAAUUGAUUCUUUCAUUUGUGGUAAUGUCUAAAUUUACCAAAUAAGGAAAGAUUCUCAUCACCCAAGUUUCAAUUGGACCGGAACUUGGAAUCAUGCAAGUUGUAUAGCAUGAUGAAUGAGAACUUUCAAGUUUUGGAAAAUUAAGACUAAUUACUUGUUCACAUGGAUGUGUGAGUCAAGUAAAGGACUUAGGGAUCGAGUACACAUUCUUGUGCACUGAUUAAGUCCACCACUAAAGAUCGAUAAGAAGAAUCAAAUAAGGCAGAAGGAUAAAAGUUUCUCAAAUCUGAAAAGAUGGGAGAGUACUUUAGUAUCAGUUUUGUGAUCAUCUUAAUGAUUAAGAAACCAUAUCAAAAUUAGUUCUCUAAGGAAAUCUUAGUGCAUUCUUAUGACUAAGAAGAGGAACUUGAAUUGUUGAAAUGGUUAAAUCAAGAAGAUGAGUCAUACUUCGUUCCAAUACAAGUCUUAGAGUCAUACUCCAAGAUUGUCAUUUGAGUGACAUGUCUUAAAGAAGGUUUAAAACACUUGUCAAAUGUAAGAGUAAAAGUUUUCUACUCUUGUACAUUUGAAAUUGGUAAGUUGUGAUGUUUUGGAUAAAACAAAGACCAACUUAGGCCAAUUGGGUAAAGUGUUUUUCUUGAUUAGAAUCCGCACUAUCUCUUGGAUGUUUGACAAGGGAGUCUUAUAUGUCAAGAGGACAGUGGGAGUCUUAAAGGUCUUGAAAGUCUCAAGAAAUAAUCAAGAAUAAAACCUAAAGUUCUUCACUAGCACACGACUUGAGGUUUAUAACCUAUCGUGUUGACAUAUCUGUGCCCAUUCCAGUUAAAGUUGGCUUUGCAUAUGAGUUCUUAGAGUUCUCAGUUUGUUGCAUAACAACUUGGAAGCAAUGGCAGGCCCUUGAGCUGCCAGGUGGCAAGAAGUUAAGAUUGAGUUCAAUCCAUAUGGUUUUGGAUUUGUCAUUAUCUUUGUCUUGUGAUUAUGGUUUGACAAAUUCAUAUGGGUAGGAACUCAUACACCAUAUAAAUCUAAGUGUCAUAAGGUUUCUCUCCGAUUCAUGAAAAUGAUGGUGAGGAAACGCUUUCACUAAGUAGAUUUUACGAAGAUAUCAAUUGUGUUAUUUGCAUUUUCAAAAGUCGUUAGUGGAGCGCGUGUGGUUAACCGGCACACUAACAUGGACUUGUGAGAAAUGGCAAAUGCCUAAGCAAUUGAGACCAUGAUUACGGUAUCCCUUUUCAUGGUUCUUGAAAUUGCUUAGACACACAGGUGAGCUAUCUACGGAAAGGGUGUAUGAAUCUAAAUUUCAGACUGUCCAGCUGAUUUCUGAGUACAUGUCAAAGCUAGUGGGAGCAUAAGUGUUAUGCUAAUAAUCAUCAUGUUAGUGGGAGCAUGAUAAUUAUGAUAAGUAUUGCAAGUUAGCAAUGUUAAUUAUAGAAAACAAAAGUUUCAAUUGGGAAAAAGUUGUUUUGCUAUAAUUAAGGGAGAGGAAAUUAUGCUUCAUCUCAAAUCUAUAAGCUUAGAUCGUGAGGUUUUAAUCAUUUAGUCAAGGAUAUAUAUGAAUUUCAUGUUGGAAUGGCUCAACAUAAGGAAAUUCUGUAUAUGGGUCCAUUAUUUGCGUUCUAAAAUUCGAUUAUGAUUACGGCAUCCCUUUUCAUAAUCUGAAUUAUGAGAACUUGGCAAAUUGAAAUGGAAAUAUUAUAGCAAAAGACUGGUUUAGUCUUUAUGUAAGACAUCAUGAAUCGUGUCCCAUAUGCUUCGGAUAUAGGAUCGAUUACAUGUGCUAUAUUCAUCCGUUCUAAAAUUUUCCAAAUGCCUGGGGCAUUAAGAAGGGAAAAGGUUUAGAACUGGAUAUGACUAAAAGGAUUAAACAAUUGUCGAGGACAAUCUAAGGUUUACCAAAGAUUGGUUACUCAAGGACAAUUGGAAGUAUAGUGAUAAUUCUGGAAGGACCAUAUUGACAUAAUCUGUAAGGAGGCAACUCUUGUUCAGAAGUGAUAGUCAAAAUGGAAUCUGGAAAUGUUUCAAAGUUAGAAUUUUCAAUCUGUGUAAGAUUAAGGAAACUUAAUGCAAGAAGGAUAUUUCCAAGGAGUUGAUCUCCUUUGGAAUACUCUGUAAUGAUUGUUGCCAAGUCUUUGUGACUUUGUGCAUAAUCAUUACAAGAGGAUCAAUGCAUAUAAGUUUAGAAUCUAACAGAUUUCAGUAAAUGGCAUGAAUUUGGAAUUCUUGCAUUUGCAGUAAGGAUUUGGGAGUGUGAAAAGAGAAUCAUUGAAGUUAUGUUCAAUUGAUCUAGUUCACAAAGUAAAGAUCAUAGACAAACAUAGUAUGCAUACUUGGUGUGUGGCAUGACUAGUGUUUAAGAAAACAUAGUGUACAUGCUUGGAGCAUGGGACAACUAUUGUUUUAAAUUCAAGAAUAAAGUUGAUAGCUGAAACAGUAUACAAUGAAUAAUGUGUAAUCAUAUGGUGAUAAAUAAAAGGUGUUUUAUUUAUGUUCAAAGGGUUGAUACCAUAUUGGAUUCAAUUAUUAUUGUGUUUCAUUUUGCAUGUUUUGACUUCCCGAAUAAACUGGGUUAUUCUUCCGGAAUGACUAAGUUAUUCAAACCAUCCACAGUCGGUCAUAUGUUGGAAGUAGAUAUGAAUUAAGACUGUCAUGGGUUGGCUUGUAGAGGUCUAAGGUGUUGGACAAAGGGCUACAACACUCAUGAGUGCUCAUAAGUUCUGAGUAUUGGAUUCAACCCGCGCUCAUUGGAAUCACUUCAUGGAUUUUAUCACGAGUGAUCAUGAGACGAUAAUAUCUUAUAUUCUUCAAACCUAGAGAUAUGAGUUGUUACUAUGAGUUGAUAGUACAUUGAUUGCACGAAAACGCAUUUGGUAACUCGGUGCUAUAAAACGUGCCUUUGUGUAUGAUUCAACAAGUAGUAGAACAAGCCAUAUGAGUCGAAGUUUAUCCAUUCCUUUUACCUUCGGGAUAAAAGCGAUAUCUGUGGGCCCCUCGAUGAUUUGAUGAUGACAAAUGGAAGUGCUCGGCCGGGCCAGGACUGAUUUGAUUUGUUCAAUUAGUCAGUCGUCAUAAAUCGGAAAUCGGGAAACAACAAAUGGACAGAGAGAAUGAUUAUAAUCCAUGUCUCAGUCCAUAUGAUAUCUAGAAUGGAGGAAUAUAUGAUCCCUUAUCUAAUGGACAAGUCAUUGACAAAGGUCAGAGUUCAUCUACAAGGUCAGAGUUCGACAGAAGCUUUUGAGAGCUACGAUUGCCAGUUGGUUCCUGAAGUCAUACGCAAUAAUAGUUUUAGACUUAUCCAAGUGGGAGACUGUUGGAUUAAUGUCUAAGUCCAUAACUAUAAUUGGUAAGACUUGACCCGACCCGGCAUGGUCCAUUUGGGUUGCAUGGCAUCAUGCACUUGGAUAGACUAUAAUGAGAGAAAUAAGACACUUAUGGUUAUUAAUAUAUUAUAAGUUCUAGUAUAUUAAUAAUAAGAAUAAUAAGAUUAUUUAAUUAGUAUUGAUCAAGAAUUAAUCUAGGAUUAAUUAAGUGAUCAAAAGAAGACUAAUUAAAUAUAUGGGUUGAUUGUGUAAAUCAUCCAUACUUGUAUAGUGGGCUAAUGCUCCAUGGAUAAUCAAGUUGGGCUAAAACCCAUAGGAUGGUCCAUGGAUGCUCCAUGGUGUAUUUGAACCCAUGGAUCCAAGGAAAUGGAAAUUCAUGACAAUUAGGGUUUACCCUAAUUGUAACACUAUAUAAAGAUCUUAUUCUUGACGAAAUUGGCGACCAGUAUGAUUCUAGACAGGGCUAGCCGAUUUUCAUGAAGUGUAGAAUUCUCUCAAGUUAUUCCAAGUGUAUUUGAUGUUGUGUGAACCAUUUGAGGUGUCACACUUGGGGCACUAGGCACUCAAGCUUCAUGAAGACUUUCUACAUGAAAGAGGUAUGUAUUCUAUCUUGUUACACUCAUUGUUUUGUAUGCUAGAUAAGGAUAAUACCUUGGAAGUUCUUAUUUGCAUGUAUAAUAGAGAAAAACAUAGAUCCAAGGUAUUUAGGGUUGCAUGUACACUUAGGAGUGUUAGAAUGCUCAAAACCCAACACUUUUGGUCCCAAAUAUGGUGAUUC
rnacentral:lncRNA from 1 species